GCUUACGGCCACACCGCCUGGUUCACGCCCGAUCUCGUUUGAUCUCGGAAGCUAAGAUAGGGUGGGCCUGGUUAGUACUUGGAUGGGAGACAGCCUGGGAAUACCAGCUGCUGUAAGAU
rnacentral:rRNA from 1 species